rnacentral:rRNA from 1 species
UGGGGAAUUUUGGACAAUGGGGGAAACCCUGAUCCAGCCAUCCCGCGUGUGCGAUGAAGGCCUUCGGGUUGUAAAGCACUUUUGGCAGGAAAGAAACGUCAUGGGUUAAUACCCCGUGAAACUGACGGUACCUGCAGAAUAAGCACCGGCUAACUACGUGCCAGCAGCCGCGGUAAUACGUAGGGUGCAAGCGUUAAUCGGAAUUACUGGGCGUAAUGCGUGCGCAGGCGGUUCGGAAAGAAAGAUGUGAAAUCCCAGAGCUCAACUUUGGAACUGCAUUUUUAACUACCGGGCUAGAGAGUGUCAGAGGGAGGUGGAAUUCCGCGUGUAGCAGUGAAAUGCGUAGAUAUGCGGCGGAACACCGAUGGCGAAGGCAGCCUCCUGGGAUAACACUGACGCUCAUGCACGAAAGCGUGGGGAGCAAACAGG